AUUGAACGCUGGCGGCAGGCCUAACACAUGCAAGUCGAACGAGUGGCGGACGGGUGAGUAAUGUCUGGGAAACUGCCCGCUGGAGGGGGAUAACUACUGGAAACGGUAGCUAAUACCGCAUACCAUCGGAUGUGCCCAGAUGGGAUUAGCUAGUAGGUGGGGUAACGGCUCAACUAGGCGACGAUCCCUAGCUGGUCUGAGAGGAUGACCAGCCAGACUGGAACUGAGGCACGUUCCAGACGCCGACGGGAGGCAGCGGUGGGGAAUAUUGCACAAGGGGAGAUAGCGUGAUGCAGCCAUGCCGCGUGUAUGAAGAAGGCCUUCGGGUUGUAAAGUACUUUCAGCGAGGAGGCGUUACUCUCAGAAGAAGCACCGGCUAACUCCGUGCCAGCAGCCGCGGUAAUAC
rnacentral:rRNA from 1 species